rnacentral:rRNA from 1 species
ACUCAAAGGAAUAGACGGGGACCCGCACAAGCGGUGGAUGAUGUGGUUUAAUUCGAUGCAACGCGAAAAACCUUACCCACCUUUGACAUGUACGGAACUUACCAGAGAUGGUUUGGUGCUCGAAAGAGAGCCGUAACACAGGUGCUGCAUGGCUGUCGUCAGCUCGUGUCGUGAGAUGUUGGGUUAAGUCCCGCAACGAGCGCAACCCUUGUCAUUAGUUGCUACAUUCAGUUGGGCACUCUAAUGAGACUGCCGGUGACAAACCGGAGGAAGGUGGGGAUGACGUCAAGUCCUCAUGGCCCUUAUAGGUGGGGCUACACACGUCAUACAAUGGCUGGUACAGAGGGUUGCCAACCCGCGAGGGGGAGCUAAUCCCAUAAAGCCAGUCGUAGUCCGGAUCGCAGUCUGCAACUCGACUGCGUGAAGUCGGAAUCGCUAGUAAUCGCGGAUCAGAAUGUCGCGGUGAAUACGUUCCCGGGUCUUGUACACACCGCCCGU